rnacentral:lncRNA from 10 species
CUUUGUUUGUGAUUGCUGCUAAAGUCAGUAUUAUUUCUUUUUUUUAAGUUUGUUGUUGUUGUGUGUUUUGUUUUGUUUUUUGAGACGGAGCCUCGCUCUGUCUCCCAGGCUGGAGUGCGGUGGCGCAAUCUCUGCUCACUGCAAGCUCCGCCUCCCAUUUUCACGCCAUUCUCCUGCCUCAGCCUCCGGAGUAGCUGGGACUACAGGAGCUGCCACCACGCCCAGCUAAUUUUUUGUAUUUUUUUUUUUUUUUUAAGUAGAGACAGGAUUUCACCGUGUUAGCCAGAAUGGUCCUGAUCUCCUGAGCUCGUAAUCUGCCCGCCUUGGCCUCCCAAAGUGCUGGGAUUACAGGCGUGAGCCACUGCGCCAAGCCAAGUUUGGUUUUUUAACCAUGCUGUUCCAGCAAAGAUGGGACCUCAAACUACCACUGCAAGCCCAUGGACUUCCCAGAGAGGGUAACGGCUUGCUCUUCUUUCUGGAAUGUCCAUGCAUUUGGGUUUUGAUCAGCAGUUCCCUAUUGCUCUAACUGAUUUUAAGCUGUUCCUAUGACAAACUUAGAGACAGCGUCGGUGUCUGCUGCUGUGUCCCCAGGUAUUGUGUGGGUGGCACAGAUCUGGGCAGUUAGAUGGAGCUCUAUGCAUGAGAUGAAGCCACACUGGCGUGAAGCCUCGCUGCCCUGUUUGAGUGAGGCAGUCCCUGCUGCCCGAAUGCGUGAAGGUACAGCCAUUCAGUCUCAACAGUAUCUGAGAUGCACAUGAUCUCCAGUGAUGCCACUUUCCACACUUGAAGGGAUUUCCUCGAAGAUACAUCCUUCUCCCCACUGCACUUGCCAUCCACCCACUGGCUUCACUACCACGAGGAUCUGACUGUGUGGGCCAGCUCUUGGGCCAGGAAUCUUCUUUUGCAACUCUCUCUGCAAGUGAUUACAACAUGAGAAAAUCAAAGCCUGUAUCAUCUGCUUCAUAUCCCGUAUUUACUUAAUGCUGUAAGAGUAGAACAUUGUUCCCAAUGACUAGCCCUCCAUCUCAGGUUCUGUUAUUUCACAGAGAGUAGUAGUAUCCUUGAGGAUGGGCAUUAUUAUUAUUAUUAUUUUUACAAUAUUUAGCUUAUUCCUAGUAGAGAGCAGUCAACGGAUACAUUUUCCAAAUUGAAUUGACUUCGCGUCAGUGAAAUUUUUAAUAAACACAUAGCAAAUUUACACAGUGAAUAUUACCUUUUCAUGUCUGUCUAUUAUACUAAUAUUGAUUUCUCACCAUUAUACCUCUAUUAAAAACUCUUUGUAAAUGAAGGAUUUUGGCAUUAAAAAAUAAACUAAUAUACAGCAUAGCACUGAACUUUAAGAGAAAUAUUGUAUGGAACAUUCAAUAAAAGCAAGCACUUACUACCCUG